rnacentral:rRNA from 1 species
AGCAGCCGCGGUAAUUCCAGCUCCAAUAGCGUAUAUUAAAGUUGUUGCAGUUAAAAAGCUCGUAGUUGAAUUUCGGGGUUAGUAGGUUGGUCGUGCCACAGGUAUGCACUGGUCUUACUGAUUCCUCCUUCCUGAUGAACCGUAAUGCCAUUAAUUUGGUGUUGCGGGGAAACUGGACUGUUACUUUAAAAAAAUUAGAGUGUUUAAAGCAAGCUAACGCUUGAAUACAUUAGCAUGGAAUAAUGAAAUAGGACGAUCGAUCCUAUUUUGUUGGUUUCUAGGAUUGACGUAAUGAUUAAUAGGGAUAGUUGGGGGCAUUAGUAUUCAAUUGUCAGAGGUGAAAUUCUUGGAUUUAUUGAAGACUAACUACUGCGAAAGCAUUUGCCAAGGAUGUUUUCAUUAAUCAAGAACGAAAGUUAGGGGAUCGAAGACGAUCAGAUACCGUCGUAGUCUUAACCAUAAACUAUGCCGACUAGGGAUCGGAUGAUGUUAAUUUUUUAAUGACUCAUUCGGCGCCUUA